rnacentral:tRNA from 1 species
UGUGGGAUCGUCUAAUGGUAGGACAAUGGGCUCUGAACCCAUUAAUCUUGGUUCGAAUCCAGGUCCCACAG